AGCCGAGAAGGAGAUGAUUGCAGAGAGUCCCCAUCAUGUCCCUCAGAGUUCAUUUAGGCCUCAGGAGUCUCCCUUUAAAAAACCAGGGCCGGACAGCAAUGAUCUAAUUGAUGUGAACAGUUCCUGGAGAGGCAUUUGUAAGGGGCAGGCACCAUUGGCUCCCACUCAGACACCAGAACUCUGAGUACCAUCACUGUGAAAAGAGGCCAGCACGAGGAAACGUAAAAUACAUACUAUUUAAACUUCCAAUGAAUAUUGAAAAAAAAAACUUUCAUAUUAAAAGACUCCAACAUAGUAUUCCAAUGUGGCUACUGUGGUUUUCCAAAUAAAGAAUCAGACAUCAUUAUUCCACCAGGUUGGGAUAAAUCAACCGUAGCAGUACAGUGGGUUACAGUAUUUGUAUGGUAAUUAGUAUAUGACUGAGCAAGGCAAAUUGAAUUACGAUUUAAUUAAGUUUUAUGUUUCAUCAUGACAAAAUAAAUAAAAACCAUUAACAGUGUGGUAUAGUAAUGAAAAUGGAUGGUAGAUUGUCAUAUUUUCCAAUGAAAAUUCUGGCAGGAUUCUGUGAGCAACAUGGUUGAAAUACAUAAAGAAAUUUGUUUUGACUAGUAGGAAACAAGGGUAGAAACGAAAGGUUAUAUUGUAACAAGGUUUGACUGUUUUGAGUUAAAUGUAGUACAUUUACUGUUAAAAUAAAGUCACUAGGAGCAUAGGAACUAUUAAAUGAAUAAUAUCAAGGUCCAUUAUUUUCCCUUCAUCAACUUGAGUCACAAUAUACAGGAACUUCUUAGCAGGCGUGAUAAUGAUGAAAAUCUAAAUUAGUAAAGGUUUGAAAUUUUGUGCAACUGUUGGAAACCAUAGUCAUUAAUAUCGUUCAACUUCACAGCUAAUCUGAAUUGAGCAAUUAUCUGAUUUCAAGUUCAUCACUUCUGGAUUGAAACAGAUUAAUUAUGAGAUGGACAUAUGAAUUAAUAAACACGUGAUAAAUGUA